GGAAGUUGAUGAGACUGGCUUGUGGACAUGGGUCUGAAUGAUUCUAAACCAGGUGUCUCAGUGCAGACGGAUCCAUCUCUUACUCAACAUGCCAGCUUUGGGCUCUCCUCUGAGAAGAUGGUGUGCUAAACCAUGCCAAGUGCAGAGAAUGCUACCUAGGCCUUCUGCAUUUCCCUGGAACUCUCUACUCUAUUGUCACCUCAGAAAUGGAUUCUACUAUUGUGGGAGUCCCUUCUACACCGUGGAGCCAUUGUGUUAAAUGCCCAGGUUUAGACAUCACCACACAGGACUGAAUUCCAAACUAUGUGUUGUUAUAUAUAAACUGCAUUUAUGAGAGGUACCUAGCCUACAGUGAGAAAAAAUGGGAUUGCCAAAAUGCCUUCUUGACCAUUGUG
rnacentral:lncRNA from 1 species